GUGUUUCAUGGGAGUCUCAAGGUGGAGUUCCAUAGCCUUCUAGUAAAAUGUGGUAUAUUUCUCAGGGCUGACAAAAAAUAAAACUUUCUGAAAGUGGCAAUUUUUUCCUCAUAUGCUCAAAGGAAUCAACCUUGUACUACUAGGCAAAACCCCCUCUGCACUGCUGGACAAACAUUUGAGAGAACUGUUUGGCAAAGAUCCAACUCUUUUACCCUCCCACUGACCCCAUGAGGAAACAAACAAAAGAAAAGUCAUUGACAAUAAGGCAGUGGCAUAAACUGAUGAAGAGUAGGAUAUUCAGGGAGCUGAGCAAUCCUGAGAGCACAUGUGCACAACACAUCCUGUUGUUUGCUGCAAACAAGCCGAACCCCUCCAGCUGCAUGGACGGGAAGCUCGGAGCUGAGUGCCCAUGGCUGCACUCCACCCCCAUGCUGUGCCAGCACCCGACCAGGAUGAGAUCACAGUAUAUCCACUGA
rnacentral:lncRNA from 1 species